AUGAGAAUUCAAAAAACAUCACACCCGCACCGGGGAAUGCAACAAAAUUGCAACGACACCCUCUUGGUGAUGUCUCUAACAUUGACAUGCAUUCCCAAAUGGGUUCAUGUAUGUUACCCCAUAUCAUAUGUGCCUUGCGAAUCACCACCUUAUCGUAUGUGUUUCAUUUUUUAUUUGAUCAAACAUGUGUAUUUGCUUUUCAUAUCUGCACAGGCUUGCUCAACAAGCCUAAUGGAACCCGCAUGGAAACUCUGUUGUAUGGACAGACAAACACCCACCCACCCCCUCAUGGCCAUGUCCUUGAUGUUAAUCCGCCAACCCAGAUGA
rnacentral:rRNA from 1 species